GCAAGGAAUUUUCGGCAAUGGGCGCAAGCCUGACCGAGCAACGCCGCGUGGAGGAUGACGGCCUUCGGGUUGUAAACUCCUUUUCCAGGGGAUGAUGAUGACCGUACCCUGGGAAUCAGGCUCGGCUAACUCUGUGCCAGCAGCCGCGGUAAGACAGAGGAGCCAAGCGUUGUCCGGAUUGACUGGGCGUAAAGCGCACGCAGGCGGUGGGGCACGUGGGGUGUGAAAGCGGCCCGCUUAACGGGGCGAGGCCAUCCCAUACGGCCCGACUCGAGAGUGGCAGAGGUUCGUGGAAUUGCCGGUGUAGUGGUGAAAUGCGUAGAGAUCGGCAGGAACACCAAGGGGGAAACCAGCGAACUGGGCCAUAUCUGACGCUCAGGUGCGAAAGCGUGGGGAGCGAACCGGAUUAGAAACCCUAGUAGUCC
rnacentral:rRNA from 1 species